CAGGGGAAGGCCAUAAGGUUUGGCGCUUCAUUUGGGUUGAAGACCGUUUGGGUUCGAGUCCCAAUCCUCUGA
rfam:Rhodotorula toruloides ATCC 204091 scaffold00027, whole genome shotgun sequence.